rnacentral:tRNA from 1 species
GUCCUCGUAGCUUACAACCUAAAGCGUAGCACUGAAGAUGCUAAGAUGUUGCCUCACGCACCCGAGGACA